GAUGAACGCUGGCGGCGUGCCUAAUACAUGCAAGUCGAACGAACAGACGAGGAGCUUGCUCCUCUGACGUUAGCGGCGGACGGGUGAGUAACACGUGGAUAACCUACCUAUAAGACUGGGAUAACUUCGGGAAACCGGAGCUAAUACCGGAUAAUAUAUUGAACCGCAUGGUUCAAUAGUGAAAGACGGUUUUGCUGUCACUUAUAGAUGGAUCCACGCCGCAUUAGCUAGUUGGUAAGGUAACGGCUUACCAAGGCAACGAUGCGUAGCCGACCUGAGAGGGUGAUCGGCCACACUGGAACUGAGACACGGUCCAGACUCCUACGGGAGGCAGCAGUAGGGAAUCUUCCGCAAUGGGCGAAAGCCUGACGGAGCAACGCCGCGUGAGUGAUGAAGGUCUUCGGAUCGUAAAACUCUGUUAUUAGGGAAGAACAAAUGUGUAAGUAACUAUGCACGUCUUGACGGUACCUAAUCAGAAAGCCACGGCUAACUACGUG
rnacentral:rRNA from 1 species